GCCGAAGCAAGAAGAAUCGGCUUUUGAAUUGGAACAAAUCUGUUUGAUGAAUGACCUGACUGAAGGCCGAGCACAUCGAUUGGGAGAAAAUGUAGCCGAAGCAAGAAGAAUCGGCUUGCGAAUUGGAACAAAUCUGUUUGAUGAAUGACCAGACUGAAGGCCGAGCACAUCGAUUGGCUUCGUUUUCUCGUCCAUUCCCAAGCUGUGCAGACGGG